CAUCAGAUCAGAUAGGAACCUCUAAUGUGUGUGACCCCGCAGGUUCGAACCUAAGCUGGUAGCACAGGAACCAAUUCCUGUACUAAUCGAAAUGACCAUCUAGCAAUGGUACCCAAUGUUCGGAUAGGUCGAAUAGUCACAAUCGCAAUACUCAGAACCUACGUAAAUAUGGUUACUGUAUAAUUCAUCCCUUUUGACCCCUGUGUUUAGGAUGACUCAGGAUUAAACUGUCAACCCUGAUUAGAUCAUCCGAGUCGUGCUCAACUCAAUUAGUCCUGUGACUCCUCACUAGGACUACCCUGGCCAAGAUUUUGCUAAAUUGAAACACGACU
rnacentral:lncRNA from 1 species